rnacentral:rRNA from 1 species
CACGUAGGGUGCGAGCGUUAAUCGGAAUUACUGGGCGUAAAGCGUGCGCAGGCGGUUCGCUAAGACCGAUGUGAAAUCCCCGGGCUUAACCUGGGAACUGCAUUGGUGACUGGCGGGCUAGAGUGUGGCAGAGGGGGGUAGAAUUCCACGUGUAGCAGUGAAAUGCGUAGAGAUGUGGAGGAAUACCGAUGGCGAAGGCAGCCCCCUGGGCUAACACUGACGCUCAUGCACGAAAGCGUGGGGAGCAAACAGG